GAUGUGAGGUUGAUCUGGAGGUGACAUCUGCCACCUCAUUGUUUGCCAAGGUUGAUUUGACUGAUCUGGCUGUCAAGGAUAAUGCUUCUUCCUUCCUUCCUUC
rnacentral:snRNA from 1 species